CGCACGAACACACAAAAUACAUAACUACACAUGCACAUAAAAGUGAACACGUUCCUACAGUAUUAACACUUUCGCACAUGUGAUCACUUAUGAAAUAUUUUCAAUGUGCUCUUUAUCAUUUUAUGCUGAAGUUAUAUUAUGAUUUUUAAGGACAGUUAAAUCUUCUAGAAAUGCAGCUGUGCCCUCUUUACAGCAAUUGUAGAUGAAGCAAAGUAUGGUAGCAAGUUAUAUAGAUAUACACACAUGCCGAAGAAGAUUGUAAUAUCUUGAGAUAACAUUUCCUACGUCACGAAAUAGACACCGUCACACUGGUCUGCGUAACAUUCCUAUAGAUGAUUGAUAUAUUUAAGUGCUUUUAAGAACUGUGUUUGAAUGACGAAUUUCUGUGAAUACGGAUUUUUAGUUUUAAUGAUUAUUUUUAAAACUUUCUGUAAUAAUCAUAUUGUGCUAUGGACUCAUUUUCCUAAAAUAAUACGUGAAUGUUAACACGAACAAAUGAUAUGAAUAUCUUAAAAAUAUUUUAUGGGUGUAAUACAAGUGGCUCAUAAAAAUCAUUGUUAAGAUAAAUAGAAUCGAACUUCAAGUUGGUAUAGUUUGUUCUACAUUUAAACAACAUGCAAUUCAUAAAGAUUACGGCUUGAAAAUAUCGAAACAUGUACAUGUAUAACUCGAUCUCUAAAGAAAAGAUCGCAGUGCGAUUUUUUCCACUGUGAUACGUAUUUCAUGACUCUGUAUCGCAUCAUACCGGUAUAUCGCCGUUCCGUUGCAACGCUACAUUAAUUUGUCCCUCUGGAAUAAGGCUUGCAACAAUAUAUGACUGUUGUAGCGAAGACAUGUUUAUUUUGUUUAAUAUAUGUAUACAUAUUGAAUAUAUGUUUAUGAAGUAAUAAAUAUUUAAGAGUGACUCGA